ACAGCAUGCUGUCACGAGACAAUCAUUCGUUCUGUAAGUGGUUGGACUUUCCCUUUAGGCCGCCUAACUUGCAAAUUUUCGGAUGGCCAUUUAACUUUGUCCAAGUAUAGCUUCUAGGAAUCGAAUUUCCUGUCUCUUCUAGAACGAUUCAGAAAACAUGACCAAACGAUUGAGGUCAAAUAUUCAGUGCGGACUUUGGCACAAGGACUCGCAUGACAAACCGUUUAAAGUGGUCGUUUUUGGUGAAGUUGGAGUUGGGAAAUCUGAACUUUUUAUGAUUGGCAAAAAUCGAACAAGAGAUUGUAAACUUUUGCAGAGGAGAACUACAGCUCAUCUAUUGAAGUAGACGGCAGGCCAGUCAAACUUGAAGUUAUCGAUACGGCUGGAAAUGAAGUGUUCCGUCAAAUGAGAGAUCAGUAUAUUGAGACUGGAGAUGGCUUUUUGCUUGUUUAUUCCAUCAAUGAUCGGGGCAGUUCCAUUUCUCUCACAGCUAUUCGUGAACAAAUCCUUCUUGCUAAAGGACAAAAAGACAAGGUUAUCGCCGAAAUUCCCUUGGUCUUGGUUGGAAACAAG